rnacentral:lncRNA from 1 species
UCUUUCCAAAAUACACAACUUCUUGUGAGUAAAGUUUUGCCAUCUUUUCUUGUUAUUUAAAGAACCAAACUGCAAGAAGCAACAAGUAGUCAAGCACAAGUUAGAAAUUGUAUUGGACGUACAGUUUUGCCAUCUCAAAUUUCUAUCUUGCUAUUACUAAGCUCGCGGUUGCACUUGAGAAAACGGUGGCAAUAAGGACCGAGGAAACAGUUACUUAAAACAAAUUAUACACUUAUGUAUACGGAAAGAGGAACCAGACUUGUCAAUAUGAUGUUGGACUGUCACUACUUGUAAAACUGAGUUUUCUUCUCUCUAGUAAUUUCUUCCUGGAAAGAUGAUAAAGUAACUCAUGUCUGCUAAAAUACAAAUAUGUGGAUCAAUAGAUAAUAAAGUGACAACGAAAGUUAUAUGAAACUCGCAAAAGAGAUGUUAACCUCAGAACCUUUACUGGAUGGUUGGUGCAACGGGCAGCACAACGAAACCGGGAAGUGAGCUGGGAGCGGACGGACGAUCUGGCUCUUCAUUGCGUCGUGCUACAGUCCUCUCGUCCAAAUCAUCCGACAACGCUCAUGUCCUCAUCAGUCAUCUCGUCCAAAUCAUCCUACAACGCUCAUGUAAAAUGUUUUCAUAAAUAAGCACAUGUUCUUGCAGGACAAGAGAUUUAAUUGAUAGCUAACAAGUACCCGAUGCUUGCAAUUAGCCUGGUGUAGCAGGUUCAGCUCCUCAUUGAUGGCCAUCAAGAUGCGCUUUGUAUUGGUAUAUGGUCUCCUCCAGCCUCUCCAACCUCUGUAUCACGAUGCACCGUUGUUCAGUUCACGGUAAACGAAUUUGUUUAGGUUAGCAACAGUGGAAAACAUACGUUGGUGUGUGGCCAAGCAUGGAUGGAGUUACCGUACAUACCUUUCAUAAUGUUCUUCUGUAGCUCAAUGUUCGCCGUGCAUCUUAUGUCCACCACCACACACCUGUCCUCGUUCGGUCCAAGCAGGUCAUUUUGCUAGGUUCAGAAGGAGUGAAAACAAGAUAUGGCUUAAUUGCUAGGUUCAGAAGGAAUAACAAGAAGUUGCAUUGAGUUUCCAGUAAAAGGCACCUUAAUUGCACAGUGUGGCACAAUCUGCUUUUUAGUAUUUUCCAUUUUAAGAAAAGCUUAUUUGAAAAUAACAAGAAGUUGCAUUGAGUUUCCAGCACAAGGCACCUUAAUUGCACGGUGUGGCACAAUUUGCUUUUUAGUAUUUUCCAUUUUAAGAAAAGCUUAUCUGAAAAUAACAUACAUCUGGUACUUAGAUGGCACUACUUCACUGCAAGUCUGCAAUAUACAAU